CGCGUAGGCGGUCUUUUAAGUCGAACGUGAAAUCCCCGGGCUCAACCCGGGAACUGCGUCCGAGACUGGAAGGCUCGAAUCCGGGAGAGGGAUGUGGAAUUCCAGGUGUAGCGGUGAAAUGCGUAGAUAUCUGGAGGAACAUCGGUGGCGAAGGCGGCAUCCUGGACCGGUAUUGACGCUGAGGCGCGAAAGCCAGGGAGGCAAAACG
rnacentral:rRNA from 1 species